AGCAGCCGCGGUAAUUCCAGCUCCAAUAGCGUAUAUUAAAGUUGUUGCAGUUAAAAAGCUCGUAGUUGAAUUUCGGGAUUGACGUGACGGUCAUGCCUUAAGGGGUAUGAACUGUUACAGUUGAUUUCUCACCUUCUGGAGAAACUUGAUGUCCUUUAUUGGGUGUCUUGCGGAUCCAGGACCUUUACCUUGAAAAAUUAGAGUGUUUAAAGCAGGCAUUUUUGCUCGAAUACAUUAGCAUGGAAUAAUAGAAUAGGACGGCAUGGUUCUAUUUUGUUGGUUUCUAGGAUCACCGUAAUGAUUAAUAGGGAUAGUUGGGGGCAUUAGUAUCCAAUUGUCAGAGGUGAAAUUCUUGGAUUUAUUGAAGACUAACUACUACGAAAGCAUUUGCCAAGGAUGUUUUCAUUAAUCAAGAACGAAAGUUAGGGGAUCGAAGACGAUCAGAUACCGUCGUAGUCUUAACCAUAAACUAUGCCGACUAGGAAUCAGACGAUGUUAAUUUUUAAUGUACUCG
rnacentral:rRNA from 1 species